rnacentral:rRNA from 1 species
GACGAACGCUGGCGGCGUGCCUAAUACAUGCAAGUCGAACGCUGAAGGAGGAGCUUGCUUCUCUGGAUGAGUUGCGAACGGGUGAGUAACGCGUAGGUAACCUGCCUGGUAGCGGGGGAUAACUAUUGGAAACGAUAGCUAAUACCGCAUAAUAGUAGAUGUUGCAUGACAUUUGCUUAAAAGGUGCAAUUGCAUCACUACCAGUUGGACCUGCGUUGUAUUAUCUAGUUGGUGAGGUAACGGCUCACCAAGGCAACGAUACAUAGUCGACCUGAGAGGGGGGUCGGCCACACUGGGACUGAGACACGGCCCAGACUCCUACGGGAGGGAGCCGGAGGGAAUCUUCGGCAAGGGACGGAAGUCUGGCCGAGGAACGCCGGGUGAGGGGAGAAGGGUCUCGGAUCGGAAAGAUCCGUUGUUAGGGAAGAACGAGAGUGAGAGUGGAAAGUUCACACUGUGACGGUAUCUUACCAGAAAGGGACGGCUAACUACGUG